GCGAGGAGGCUCACCGUGAUAUUGAGAAAGCAUAGCGUAGCAGACUCAGAGAUAAGUAAACCCAACAGCAGCUUUAUUGGAAAGCAGAGAAAAGAGAAUGGGAGUUAGGGGAGUAGACUUAAGAUGGUAUAAUAUUAGAGUCUCUUAACUGAUAAUGAUCGACGGAUGUCUGUUGCAGGUUUUCCAGAGGAAUGGAGGAGCAGUGGAGUAUUGGAGCAUCUCAGAGGUAGGCCUCACCGAAAGAUGGCUGACAGAUAACCGACACUCGCGCUGUGGAGAUACUAAAGCAACAGGAAAAGGAGCCUGAGCAGGUGCAGAAGGCAGCAGUCUGAAUGAUUGCUGUUGAGGAGGAAGAGGAAAUGUCACGAGGGAACCCACUGGAUGUUUUGAUUGUCUUUGAAGAUGAAGAGGUGAUAUCAACCAAGUCUAGGGUCAGUGCACUGCUGUUGUUUUUGCACUUUAUGCCCUCAUUUAGAGUACAUUAACUUCUCAAAGCAGCCUUACAGAAAAUGUACAUUACAAUUUAG
ensembl:lncRNA